UUCGGUGUCCUGAGUCCUGUACUACAAUUCAAGAUCAACAUGCCCUGGAUUUCUUUCAGUUACCCGGUUUCACCUAACCUAACAACCGUGGUCCUGCAUGUAAGCUGUGUCACGACGCUGGUUAUUACCUACUUCAGUCAACCCAAGGUUUCCCAAUCCAGUGCGUGCACAUAAAAGAAGCGGUGUUUGCACAGCAUGACCAAUCGCAAAAUCUACCAGAGCCGCAUAUUUUAAAUAGGAAGAGAAAACUAUAAUUCUACAUAAAUAUGAAGAACACAGACACGGUUUUACAGGUCAAAACGCAAUCCAGUCACUGCUCCCAAAACAGGAAGGAAAGAUGGCAAAAAAAUAGCAGACGCUGGUAAUGUGUAAAUCACAACGCUUAUCAAUAUCACUUCCCCAUCAGUCAGGACCAAGAUCUGACCAUAACUACACUUGUAAUUUCCAUAUUUUCUGUAGCUUUAACC